rnacentral:rRNA from 1 species
GGUCCUUCGGGAUGCCGGCGAGCGGCGGACGGGUGAGGAAUACGUCGGAAUCUGCCUCUUUGUGGGGGAUAACGUAGGGAAACUUACGCUAAUACCGCAUACGACCUACGGGUGAAAGCCGGGGACCUUCGGGCCUGGCGCAGAGAGAUGAGCCGACGUCGGAUUAGCUAGUUGGCGGGGUAAAGGCCCACCAAGGCGACGAUCCGUAGCUGGUCUGAGAGGAUGAUCAGCCACACUGGAACUGAGACACGGUCCAGACUCCUACGGGAGGCAGCAGUGGGGAAUAUUGGACAAUGGGCGCAAGCCUGAUCCAGCCAUGCCGCGUGUGUGAAGAAGGCCUUCGGGUUGUAAAGCACUUUUGUUGGGGAAGAAAAGCGUUGGGUUAAUACCCUGACGUUCUGACGGUACCCAAAGAAUAAGCACCGGCUAACUUCGUGCCAGCAGCCGCGGUAAUACGAAGGGUGCAAGCGUUACUCGGAAUUACUGGGCGUAAAGCGUGCGUAGGUGGUUUGUUAAGUCUGAUGUGAAAGCCCUGGGCUCAACCUGGGAACUGCAUUGGAAACUGGCUUACUAG